AUCAAAGAAGGUAAUAAUCCUGUAGUCGAAAAUGUUGUCUCUCUUGAGUGGAUCCUGAGUACGACGGAGCACGUGAAAUUCCGUCGGAAUCUGGGAGGACCAUCUCCUAAGGCUAAAUACUCUCUAGUGACCGAUAGUGAACCAGUACCGUGAGGGAAAGGUGAAAAGCACCCCGGAAGGGGAGUGAAAUAGAACCUGAAACCGUGUGCUUACAAGUAGUCAGAGCCCGUUAAUGGGUGAUGGCGUGCCUUUUGUAGAAUGAACCGGCGAGUUACGAUUUGAUGCAAGGUUAAGCAGUAAAUGUGGAGCCGUAGCGAAAGCGAGUCUGAAUAGGGCGUUUAGUAUUUGGUCGUAGACCCGAAACCAGGUGAUCUACCCUUGGUCAGGUUGAAGUUCAGGUAACACUGAAUGGAGGACCGAACCGACUUACGUUGAAAAGUGAGCGGAUGAACUGAGGGUAGCGGAGAAAUUCCAAUCGAACCUGGAGAU
rnacentral:rRNA from 1 species